GGGCUCGGUUCACUCCCAACCCCUGUGACAUACCACUUGUUGCCUCGGCGGAUCAGCCCGCUCCCGGUAAAACGGGACGGCCCGCCAGAGGACCCCUAAACUCUGUUUCUAUAUGUAACUUCUGAGUAAAACCAUAAAUAAAUCAAAACUUUCAACAACGGAUCUCUUGGUUCUGGCAUCGAUGAAGAACGCAGCAAAAUGCGAUAAGUAAUGUGAAUUGCAGAAUUCAGUGAAUCAUCGAAUCUUUGAACGCACAUUGCGCCCGCCAGUAUUCUGGCGGGCAUGCCUGUUCGAGCGUCAUUUCAACCCUCAAGCACAGCUUGGUGUUGGGACUCGCGUUAAUUCGCGUUCCUCAAAUUGAUUGGCGGUCACGUCGAGCUUCCAUAGCGUAGUAGUAAAACCCUCGUUACUGGUAAUCGUCGCGGCCACGCCGUUAAACCCCAACUUCUGAAUGUUGACCUCGGAUCAGGUAGGAAUACCCGCUGAACUUAAGCAUAUCAAUAAGCCGGAGGAAA
rnacentral:rRNA from 1 species